rnacentral:rRNA from 1 species
UACGUAGGGUGCGAGCGUUGUCCGGAUUUAUUGGGCGUAAAGAGCUCGUAGGCGGUUUGUCGCGUCGGCCGUGAAAUCUCCACGCUUAACGUGGAGCGUGCGGUCGAUACGGGCAGACUUGAGUUCGGUAGGGGAGACUGGAAUUCCCGGUGUAGUGGUGGAAUGCGUAGAUAUCGGGAGGAACACCAGUGGCGAAGGCGGUUGCCUGGAGCUUUGCUGACGCUGAUGCGCGAAAGCGUGGGGAGCGAUCCGG